rnacentral:rRNA from 1 species
AUACGUAGGUGGCAAGCGUUGUCCGGAAUUACUGGGCGUAAAGGAUGCGUAGGCGGCCUCUUAAGUGGGAUGUGAAAUGCCGGGGCUUAACCCCGGAGGUGCAUUCCAUACUGGGAGGCUAGAGUGCAGGAGAGGAAAGCGGAAUUCCCAGUGUAGCGGUGAAAUGCGUAGAGAUUGGGAGGAACACCAGUGGCGAAGGCGGCUUUCUGGACUGUAACUGACGCUGAGGCAUGAAAGUGUGGGGAGCAAACAGGAUUAGAUACCCUGGUAGUCCACACCGUAAACGAUGGGCACUAGGUGUAGGGGGCGUAGCCCUCUGUGCCGCAGUUAACACAUUAAGUGCCCCGCCUGGGGAGUACGAUCGCAAGAUUAAA